UACGUAGGGGGCAAGCGUUGUCCGGAUUUAUUGGGCGUAAAGAGCGUGUAGGCGGUUUGGUAGGUCCGCUGUGAAAACUCGAGGCUCAACCUCGAGACGCCGGUGGAAACCAUCAGACUAGAGUCCGGAAGAGGAGAGUGGAAUUCCUGGUGUAGCGGUGAAUGCGCAGAUAUCAGGAAGAACACCCGUGGCUAAGGCGGCUCUCUAGUACGGUACUGACGCUGAGACGCGAAAGCGUGGGGAGCGAACAGG
rnacentral:rRNA from 1 species